rnacentral:lncRNA from 1 species
CAAAGUAAGAUUUACAAAUAAGUCAACAUGACCGAAAUGGUCAAUUGACCCCCUAAGGAGUUAUUGUCCUUUGUAGUCAAUUUUUAACAAUUUUCAUAAAAUUUGUAAAUUUUUAUUAACAUUUUCCACUAAAACUAUUGGGCCAAGGUUAUUAUAGAUAGAGAUAAUUGUAAGCAGCAAGACUGUUUAGUAAAGUAAGAUGUACAAACACAUCAACAUCACCAAAAC